CUUUAGUGCAGUAGGCAGAGUGUCAGUCUCAUAAGCUGAAGGUCCUGAGUUUGAUCCUCAGAAG
rfam:Monodelphis domestica chromosome 1, whole genome shotgun sequence.